rnacentral:rRNA from 1 species
UGAAUACGAGACGCUACGGCGUCGAAGCAGUGUAUAUCAUACUUCCAAGAAAAGCUUGCAAUGUCAUAAACAAAUAAUGCCUGUACCAUAACCGACACAGGUGGGUAGGUAGAGUAUACUAAGGGGCGCGAGAUAACUCUCUCUAAGGAACUCGGCAAAAUGACUCCGUAACUUCGGGAGAAGGAGUGCCUUAUUUAUAAGGUUGCAAUAACAAGAUCCAAGCAACUGUUUACCAAAAACACAGGUCUCCGCUAAGUCGUAAGACGAUGUAUGGGGGCUGACGCCUGCCCAGUGCCAGAAGGUUAAAGAAGUUGGUUAGCAUUAGCGAAGCUGAUAACUGAAGCCCUGGUGAACGGCGGCCGUAACGAUAACGGUCCUAAGGUAGCGAAAUUCCUUGUCGGGUAAGUUCCGACCCGCACGAAAGGCGUAAUGAUUUGGAUACUGUCUCGGAGAGGGGCUCGGUGAAAUAGACUUGUCUGUGAAGAUGCGGACUACCUGCACCUGGACAGAAAGACCCUAUGAAGCUUUACUGUAACUUGAAAUUGAAAUUGGACUUUAUUUGCGCAGCAUAGGUGGGAGGCUUUGAUAUUAUUCUUGCGGGAAUAGUGGAGCCAUCAGUGAGAUACCACUCUUGUAAUGUUAGAUUUCUAACUUUGGAUCAUUAUCUGGUCAAAGAACAGUUUCAGGCGGGCAGUUUGACUGGGGCGGUCGCCUCCUAAAUGGUAACGGAGGCGUACAAAGGUUUCCUCUGAACGGGUAGAAAUCGUAUCUAGAGUGUAAAGGCAUAAGGAAGCUUGACUGUGAGACCUACAAGUCGAGCAGGGACGAAAGUCGGUCUUAGUGAUCUGACGGUGCUGAGUGGAAAGGCCGUCACUCAACGGAUAAAAGUUACUCUAAGGAUAACAGGCUGAUCUCCCCCAAGAGUUCACAUCGACGGGGAGGUUUGGCACCUCGAUGUCGGCUCAUCGCAUCCUGGGGCGGUAGUACGUCCCAAGGGUUGGGCUGUUCGCCCAUGAAAGCGGUACGCGAGCUGGGUUCAGAACGUCGUGAGACAGUUCGGUCCAUAUCCGGUGUAGGCGUUAGAAUAUUGAGAGGAGCCUUCUUUAGUACGAGAGGACCGAGAAGGACAUACCUCUGGUGUACCAGUUAUCGUGCCAACGGUAAGCGCUGGGUAGCUAUGUAUGGAGAGGAUAACCGCUGAAAGCAUCUAAGUGGGAAGCCCACCUCAAGAUGAGUAUUCUCAAAAAA